rfam:Ictidomys tridecemlineatus contig013321, whole genome shotgun sequence.
AGUGAUAUAGCUCAGUUGGUAAAGUGCUUGCCUUGCAUGCACACGGCCUUGGGUUCAAUCCCCAGCACCACCA